rnacentral:tRNA from 1 species
CCUUGGAUAGCUCAGCUGGUAGAGUAUGAGACACUUAAUCUCAGGGUUGAUGGUUCAAGUCCCACGUUGGGCA